UGAGGAAUAUUGGUCAAUGGGCGAGAGCCUGAACCAGCCAAGUAGCGUGCAGGAUAACGGCCCUAUGGGUUGUAAACUGCUUUUAUAUGGGAAUAAAGUGAGGGACGUGUCCCUUAUUGCAUGUACCAUACGAAUAAGGACCGGCUAAUUCCGUGCCAGCAGCCGCGGUAAUACGGAAGGUCCAGGCGUUAUCCGGAUUUAUUGGGUUUAAAGGGAGCGUAGGCUGUUUGUUAAGCGUGUUGUGAAAUGUAAGAGCUCAACUUUUAGAUUGCAGCGCGAACUGGCAGACUUGAGUGCGCACAACGUAGGCGGAAUUCAUGGUGUAGCGGUGAAAUGCUUAGAUAUCAUGACGAACUCCGAUUGCGAAGGCAGCUUACGGGAGCGCAACUGACGCUAAAGCUCGAAGGUGCGGGUAUCGAACAGG
rnacentral:rRNA from 1 species